rnacentral:misc_RNA from 1 species
UUUAGAAUAAAGUCUGUUUUGUUUAACGACACCACUAGAGCACAUUGAUUUAUUAAUUAACCCAACUUAUGAACUGGGGUAGGAUUUUGUAGCUCAAUCUUCACAACUCGUGGGGGAAAAAAUGGAGGAACAAACAAAUCAUUCGUGCAAUUAUGGGUUUAGGUGUGUGAGAUUGGAGCGACAGUGCAGAUUGUUUAUUAAUCGCCUUUAUUAACGCUCUCCAUUUGGUGAAGUCUUGUUCAUAAUUUGGAAUUUGUGAAUUCACAAUAUUCACUUGCACAUAAAAGGCGGGAUUUAAGACACGGAAGAAAACAAGUAUGGCCGACGGAAGAAUGGUGACAGUGCAUUGACAGUCUCUAAUUUCCGUUAUACAAUAGUCGAGAGAUUAUUUGCAAUCUAGAUUAAAAUAAUGCCAGGAAAUCGUUGCAUUGUGGCGGGAUGCGACAACACAUAUAAAUCUGGUAGCAUUUCAUUGCAUAUACUCCCCAGAGAUGAAGAAACCCGUGGUUUUUGGAAACAUUUCGUACAAAAGACCAGACCCGAUUUAACUAACUUCAAAAAGAGCCAUUCGCUAUGUAGUGCGCAUUUUAAAGAUGACUGUUUCGAUCACUUAACUUUUCGCUUACGGGCAGAGUUUGGAAUGACAAGUAAAACCACGUUAAAGCCAUACUCUGUUCCCACGAUAUACCCCAAAAUGAAGAAAGAGACGAUGUUUAGUGACAUUUCAAACAUUAAGAAGACAAAACGGACAUUGAGUGAUAACUUGAAAACAAUGAAUUUUAUUAUGUCAAUGAAGGCAAAACGAAUAUCGACAGACCGUAGCAGAAGAAGACCAGCUUCGGUGAGCUUAAGCAUUCGGUUCUAAUGCUGGAGGAAAGAGUUCGACCCGUAUUCCUUAAUAUCAAAGGCUCUAACUCUAAGAUUAACCCUAAAACUAACCCUAACCAUUGAAAGGGGGGUACAGGUCGAACUCACAGCCCCUGUGUAACAUACAGGCAAAAUAUGUUAUUUACGGCAUGGAAUAUCAUGUGUUAUGACAUUAGCUUCAGGAGGAUGAAUGAUGUCAACCUGGGGAUGACGUCACUAAUGUUUGGGGUUGACUAUUUGGAAAGUAAAUAGAAAACAGCUGUUCUUACCAGUAGUGCCGUGAAUCAAUUCAUAUAAAUAAUGUUGGACAGGAACAGAAACCAAAGACUCCAGUUUUAACUGACCACACUUACGCCAUUUCCACGCACCAGAACAAUCCAGACGAGAAGGGAGAUAACUCUUGUUUAAAACAGGGUAUUAUUGAUGGUAGCCCAUCCAACAAGUGUGCACGCCAUACAGCACCAGUCACCGAAUACCCUCAUCUUGUUGGAGCUGGUUUGGAAGAGUUCGUGGAGAAUCCGCUAUCAUCUUCACUGCAUGAAAUUCCAGAGGACCUAAUUACCAACGGCUUGAUCUUGGAACUAAUGUCAUUUUACCGAGAUUGUACAACAAUGCUAGCCUGGCUUCAAGUGCUCAUGGGUAAAGCGUUUCCUUCACAAUUGACAGAAACAUGUCUAUGGAAGAAGUGUUUUCGUGUGAAGAGGAAAGUCAUGAGGUUGAAAGAUGGUAUAUAUUACCUUGGGGAUUAUUUCAGCGCUGCCGACUACGAGAACGAACGUUUUCAGUGUCGUAAAGCCCCAUGUCCCACUGAGGUGUCUGUGCGAAUGUGGCUUCCUCCGUAAAUAAUUUUACUCUGCUGCAUGGUGAUGUAUUGCUAUGGGUUGUGGUGAAACGUGUUUAGCAGGUAUGAAACAUGAUUUAUGGAUGUGAAACAUGAGAUUGUGUAACAUGUUAAAUCAGAUGGUUAUGUGUUUAGCUGAUAUGAAACAUGAUGUAUGGAUGUGAAACAUGAGAUUGUGUACCAUGUUAAAUCAGAUGAUGAAACUUGUUUAGCAGAUAUGAAACAGGAUGUAUGGAUGUGAAACAUGAGAUUGUGUAUCAUGUUAAAUCAGAUGGUGAAACUUGUUUAGCAGAUAUGAAACAGUAUGUACAGAUGUGAAACAUGAGAUUGUGUAUCAUGUUAAAUCAGAUGGUGAAACUUGUUUUUGCAAAUAUGAAACAUGAUGUAUGGAUGUAAAACAUGAGAUUGUGUAGCAUGUUAAAUCAGAUGGUAAAACAUGUUUAGCAGAUAUGAAACGUGUGGGUGUGAAACAUGAUAAUGUAACAUGUUAAAUCAGAUGGUGAAACUUGUUUAGAAGAUAUGAAACAUGAUGUAUGGAUGUGAAACAUGAGAUUAUGUACCAUGUUAAAUCAGAUGUUGAAACUUGUUUAGCAGAUAUGAAACAGGAUGUAUGGAUGUAAAACAUGAGAUUGUGUAGCAUGUUAAAUCAGAUGGUCAAACAUGUUUAGCAGAUAUGAAAUGUGUGGGUGUGAAACAUGAUAAUGUAACAUGUUAAAUCAGAUGGUGAAACUUGUUUAGCAGAUAUGAAACAUGAUGUAUUGAUGUGAAACAUGAGAUUGUGUAACAUGUUAAAUCAGAUGGUGAAACUUGUUUAGCAGAUAUGAAACAUGAUGUAUGGAUGUGAAACAUGAGAUUGUGUAACAUGUUAAAUCAGAUGGUCAAACAUGUUUAGCAGAUAUGAAACAUGUGUGGGUGUGAAACAUGAGAAUUUAACAUGUUAAAUCAUAUGGUGAAACUUGUUUAGCAGAUAUAAAACAGGAUGUAUGGAUGUGAAACAUGAGACUAACAUGUUAAAUCAGAUGGUGAAACUUGUUUAGCUGAUAUGAAACAGGAUGUAUGGAUGUGAAACAUGAGAUUGUGUAUCAUGUUAAAUCAGAUGGUGAAACUUGUUUAGCAGAUAUGAAACAGUAUGUACAGAUGUCAAACAUCAGAUUGUGUAGCAUGUUAAAUCAGAUGGUCAGACAUGUUUAGCAGAUAUGAAACAUGUGGGUGUGAAACAUGAUAUUGUGUAACAUGUUGAAACAGAUGGUGAAACUUGUUUAGCAGAUAUGAAACGGGAUGUGUGGAUGUGAAACUUGAGAUUGUGUAUCAUGUUAAAUCAGAUGGUGAACUUGUUUAGUGGAAAUGAAACAGGAUGUAUGAAUGUGAAGCAUGAUAUUGUGUAUCAUGUUAAAUCAGAUGGUGAAACUUGUUUAGCAGAUAUGAAACACGAUGUGUGAGUGUGAAACAUGAGACUGUAACAUGUUAAAACAUAUGCGAUGUGUAACCGUGAACCACUUGCUUGAUUUCAUAAUAAAAAUGUAAGCUUGA